UGAGGAAUAUUGGUCAAUGGGCGAGAGCCUGAACCAGCCAAGUAGCGUGCAGGAUGACGGCCCUAUGGGUUGUAAACUGCUUUUAUGCGGGGAUAAAGUGUGCGACGUGUCGUGCAUUGCAGGUACCGCAUGAAUAAGGACCGGCUAAUUCCGUGCCAGCAGCCGCGGUAAUACGGAAGGUCCGGGCGUUGUCCGGAUUUAUUGGGUUUAAAGGGAGCGUAGGCCGCCAGAUAAGCGUGUUGUGAAAUGUACCGGCUCAACCGGUGAAUUGCAGCGCGAACUGUUUGGCUUGAGUGCACGGUAAGCAGGCGGAAUUCAUGGUGUAGCGGUGAAAUGCUUAGAUAUCAUGAAGAACUCCGAUUGCGAAGGCAGCUUGCUGCAGUGCGACUGACGCUGAUGCUCGAAGGUGCGGGUAUCAAACAGG
rnacentral:rRNA from 1 species